UACGUAGGGUGCGAGCGUUAAUCGGAAUUACUGGGCGUAAAGCGUGCGCAGGCGGUGAUGUAAGACAGGUGUGAAAUCCCCGGGCCUAACCUGGGAACUGCAUUUGUGACUGCAUCGCUGGAGUACGGCAGAGGGGGAUGGAAUUCCGCGUGUAGCAGUGAAAUGCGUAGAUAUGCGGAGGAACACCGAUGGCGAAGGCAAUCCCCUGGGCCUGUACUGACGCUCAUGCACGAAAGCGUGGGGAGCAAACAGG
rnacentral:rRNA from 1 species